CUUACCCAUUAGGUCUCCAACAAUAGUCACUCAACAUCCGAUGGAUACCGGAAGCAAGUUGAACGGGAUAGAAACAUUAUUAACCCAGACAAGGGCGGCCUGCUCCUCCGCCAGAAACCACGGCCACGUCGCCCGGGAUGUUUUCCGCCGUUUGAUCGCCGGGUGGACGCCUCUCGUUGCUUGCGCCGGCUUCGGCUCCGCCUGGCUUCCUUCCAGAAGCUGCGGAGCUAGAACGCGAAGGUAAGAAGCCAGCUCGGUUUCUACCCGAUCGAUUCUAUCCGGUUUCACCGCCAUGGUCUCGCCCACUCUCACCGUCCUGUUGUGUCUCUCCCUCCACACUGUGCUGCCGCUGCUGCCUCGCUAUCUUGUCGCGUCGUCCCAGUUUCUAGCGUCGCCCGCCUCUUUGCGGCGGCGGCGCGGGUGUGCCGCCUCCUUCUUCUUCCCGUUUCCUCCUGUCCGUGCAUGCGGCUUUCCCGGGGAGGGCGUUGUCAUCCUCUUCGAGGAGGCUCACCGGAAGGGAAGAGGGGGGUGGGGGCUUUGUCUGCCGGAGGACCCCGAGGGGAGGAGGGCGGGAAGGGCCUCGUCGCCGGAGGGGCCGGGUGGGAGGGCGCCGCUUGCCCUCGGUCUUCGCCGGUGGAGGGAGCCGGAGGGGAAGGGCGCGGCUUGGCCUCGCUGUGGAGUCGUGCUGGAGAUAGUUGCUGCAGAGACUAAGAAGAAGAAGACACUGAUCUGGAACGAAAUCGGACCGGUUUUGUUGCAUCGUCUGUUUGUUUCGUUGGAAGAUAGUUGCUGCCUUCCUCAUGCGAUUCAGUCUCUGCGUGUCAGCACCCGCCGGUAGCCGUUGUUUUCUCGGGCUUUUCUCUUAGGUAACAAUCAGUGCUUCGCUAUUUUCACUAAGUACCAUCAAGUAAUUUGUGCUGAACUAAUAUGCAUUUGCUCUCUUCUCGGAGCUCGGUAUAAACACAACAAAGGUUCACAUCCUUAUUGCCCCGUGGCCCGUGCGCAUGGACCCUGUUGUUUCCUGAGACCGGACAGAGUUUUGCGACAACUUUUUGAAACCAAAAAAUGGAUUUGUAGUGCUUCACAACGGCUUCUUACAAGUCUUUGAUUCCAGAGCACAACUGAAACCAUGGUACCCUCAAUAUGGCUGUACAAAAGUUCUAGCAUGGACACAGGUUGCACCCACGUAUGAACCAGAAUACAACAGCAUUGUCCACACCAUGCCAAAACCACUGAGACGUUUACAGAUAAACAUUGAAGGAGUCCAAGCCCAUCUCUGCACCGAUAACACAAUGAGAGCACUCCUAAAGAACAGAUGCAUUAUAGACUCAAUCUUGUUUGACAUCAUAGACUACACGUACAACAUAUCUGCACAUACACGCAUACCAUGAACAUGAUCCUAGACAUGGCUCAUCUGGGCCUCAGAAAGAAUGAACUUAAUAAAGAGCGCUACAUAUCUGGCCCAUCCACAUGAAUCCAAACGACAUGGUAGAUGAAUCGACCUAAUAAUGCAGGAAGAAGAGGAACAACAGGAAGCAGAAGCAAUAGGUACAUACAUAGUACGCACCCAAUCUAUAUCAGUUGUCUAUUUAAAAAAAUAGAGAACCAGUUGUUUGUUCUACUGGUGCUAACACUGAUGUGAUACAUAUAUAUCUUAGAUGAUGACAUCACCGUUUCAGACCCAGUUGAAAAUCAUCCUAAUCCAGCGACGCCAGGAUCCUAAGUACAUAAAAACCACUGCCUUUGCACAUCCCCUUCUGUUAAUCACAUGUAACAAACCCAGAACCAAUGCAAAACCCACACCUUUCAUUUUUCAGGUACCGCUUCACCAUGCAGUCACAGUGAAUACUGCCUCUGCUACCCGAUUCAGAUUACCAAGUCACAGAUGGGAGAAUGCUUGACGCCUUCAACAGCCGACGGCAAUAUGCACCGGCCAUCUCCAAACAGCAGGCUUCCUGUGUACAAUACUGAAGGCAUCCACUAUAUAAAUUAAUCGAUCAUGUAUGUCUGCUACUACUGUAAUGUAUUCUAUGUAGCACUAAACAAAACUAUGCCGGUAACCUCUAUUCACACUCAGUUACUUUA